CCUACGGGAGGCAGCAGUGAGGAAUAUUGGUCAAUGGGCGGAAGCCUGAACCAGCCAAGUCGCGUGAGGGAAUAAGGCCCUACGGGUCGUAAACCUCUUUUGCCGGGGAGCAAGGGCGGGGACGUGUCCCGGCCCGGAGAGUACCCGGAGAAAAAGCAUCGUCUAACUCCGUGCCAGCAGCCGCGGUAAUACGGGGGAUGCGAGCGUUAUCCGGAUUUAUUGGGUUUAAAGGGUGCGUAGGCGGGCUUUUAAGUCAGCGGUAAAGAUUGGGGGCUCAACCCCGUCCGGCCGUUGAAACUGGGAGCCUUGAGUGGGCGAGAGGAAGGCGGAAUGCGUGGUGUAGCGGUGAAAUGCAUAGAUAUCACGCAGAACCCCGAUUGCGAAGGCAGCCUUCCGGCGCCCUACUGACGCUGAGGCACGAAAGUGCGGGUAUCGAACAGGAUUAGAUACCCUAGUAGUC
rnacentral:rRNA from 1 species